GAUGAACGCUAGCGGCAGGCUUAACACAUGCAAGUCGAGGGGUAACAGGGAUAGCUUGCUAUUUGCUGACGACCGGCGCACGGGUGCGUAACGCGUAUACAAUCUACCUUGUACUGGGGAAUAGCCUUUGGAAACGAAGAUUAAUGCCCCAUAGUAUCAUAUACUGGCAUCAGUUUUAUGAUUAAAGUUUCGGCGGUACAAGAUGAGUAUGCGUUCUAUUAGUUAGUUGGUAAGGUAACGGCUUACCAAGACUUCGAUAGAUAGGGGUCCUGAGAGGGAGAUCCCCCACACUGGUACUGAGACACGGACCAG
rnacentral:rRNA from 1 species